AUUGAACGCUGGCGGAAUGCUUUACACGUGCAAGUCGAACGGUAAGGCCCUUCGGGGUACACGAGUGGCGAACGGGUGAGUAACACGUGGGUGAUCUGCCCUGCACUUCGGGAUAAGCCUGGGAAACUGGGUCUAAUACCGGAUAGGACCACUGCCUGCAUGGGUGGUGGUGGAAAGCUUUUGCGGUGUGGGAUGGGCCCGCGGCCUAUCAGCUUGUUGGUGGGGUGAUGGCCUACCAAGGCGACGACGGGUAGCCGGCCUGAGAGGGUGACCGGCCACACUGGGACUGAGAUAUGGCCCAGACUCCUACGGGAGGCAGCAGUGGGGAAUAUUGCACAAUGGGCGCAAGCCUGAUGCAGCGACGCCGCGUGAGGGAUGACGGCCUUCGGGUUGUAAACCUCUUUCAGCACCGACGAAGCGCAAGUGACGGUAGGUGCAGAAGAAGGACCGGCCAACUACGUGCCAGCCGCCGCCGUAA
rnacentral:rRNA from 1 species